CUGUUAGAAGGUAACAGAUUAUUUUAUUACAAUGGUUCAAUUGGAUUUUCAUUGUGUGCAAUGGUGUUAUUUGCCCCCUAGUGGAUGUUUCUGGUACUUAGAAAGACUACGCAAACAGGAAGUAGAGAAUUUGUUCUGCACGCAUAGAAGCAGCUACAAACAACGCUACGGUGCAGGUCUUUCAAUGUAGUUAUUUCUUGUCACGCUUCAGCCUUGGAAAAUAUUUGUUUUUUCACAACAUAAACGUUUUCAAUAUAUUCAUUCAAGAAAAGUCACGCCUUGGGAGUUUUAUUGAAGACUUAGUUGUUAGCUAUCUGUCUAGUUUUGCAUGGGAACGCAACUCAAGGGCAGAAUAGUGA